rnacentral:misc_RNA from 1 species
GUAAGAUUAAUGAGCAUUGUGCUGGAUGUGGAUGUGGAACCUACUACUACUCCUUGGGAUCCUGCUAAGGCUUAUUUAUUUGUCCCUGUUGUUGGUGAUAAGUCCGAAGAUCCAGUGAAAGAAAUUGAUUGGGAUAUGGUUAAAAGAAUAAUUCAGACGGAUGUCUGGAGCAAUCCCCUUCAGCGUGCUCGGCCAGACGUCUACCUUGGCACAAAUGAGCGAGCAUUAGGUGGGGAUAGAAGGG